rnacentral:rRNA from 1 species
UUCGCCCUUAGAGUUUGAUCCUGGCUCAGGACGAACUCUGGCGGCGUGCCUAACACAUGCAAGUCGAACGGAGUUGCGUCACGAAGUUCUUCGGAGCGGACGACGCAGCUUAGUGGCGGACGGGUGAGUAACGCGUGAGCAACCUGCCUUUCAGAGGGGGACAACGGUUGGAAACGACCGCUAAUACCGCAUGAAAUGACUGGACCGCAUGAUCCGGUCAUCAAAGAUUUUAUCGCUGAAAGAUGGGCUCGCGUCUGAUUAGAUAGUUGGUGGGGUAACGGCCCACCAAGUCGACGAUCAGUAGCCGGACUGAGAGGUUGAACGGCCACAUUGGGACUGAGAUACGACCCAGACUCCUACGGGAGGCAGCAGUGGGGAAUAUUGGGCAAUGGGGGCAACCCUGACCCAGCAACGCCGCGUGAAGGAAGAAGGCUUUCGGGUUGUAAACUUCUUUUACCGAGGACGAAGAACGUGACGGUACUCGGAGAAAAAGCCACGGCUAACUACGUGCCAGCAGCCGCGGUAAUACGUAGGUGGCAAGCGUUGUCCGGAAUUACUGGGUGUAAAGGGCGUGUAGGCGGAGCGGCAAGUCAGAAGUGAAAUCUCUGGGCUCAACCCGGAAACUGCUUUUGAAACUGUCGCCCUUGAGUAUCGGAGAGGCAGGCGGAAUUCCUAGUGUAGCGGUGAAAUGCGUAGAUAUUAGGAGGAACACCAGUGGCGAAGGCGGCCUGCUGGACGACAACUGACGCUGAGGCGCGAAAGCGUGGGGAGCAAACAGGAUUAGAUACCCUGGUAGUCCACGCCGUAAACGAUGGAUACUAGGUGUGGGGGGACUGACCCCCUCCGUGCCGCAGUAAACACAAUAGGUAUCCCACCUGGGGAGUACGACCGCAAGGUUGAAACUCAAAGGAAUUGACGGGGGCCCGCACAAGCAGUGGAUUAUGUGGUUUAAUUCGACGCAACGCGAAGAACCUUACCUGGCCUUGACAUCCCAUUGAAUAUCCGGUAAAGCGGAUAGGCCUACGGGACAAUGGAGACAGGUGGUGCAUGGUUGUCGUCAGCUCGUGUCGUGAGAUGUUGGGUUAAGUCCCGCAACGAGCGCAACCCUUAUUCCUAGUAGCCAGCAGUCAGAUGGGGACUCUAGGGAGACUGCCGGGGAUAACCCGGAGGAAGGUGGGGAUGACGUCAAAUCAUCAUGCCCCUUAUGGCCAGGGCUACACACGUGCUACAAUGGCGUAAACAAAGGGAAGCGAGAGGGUGACCUUAAGCAAAUCCCAAAAAUAACGUCCCAGUUCGGAUUGUAGUCUGCAACUCGACUACAUGAAGCUGGAAUCGCUAGUAAUCGCAGAUCAGAAUGCUGCGGUGAAUACGUUCCCGGGUCUUGCACUCAACGCCCGUCA